AGGGAUAGAGCUCAGUGGUAAAGCACAUGCUUAGCAUGUAUGAGGUCCUGGAUUCAAUCCCCAGUAGCUCUG
rnacentral:tRNA from 1 species